rnacentral:rRNA from 1 species
UGUUUCGGCUAGGGGGCCAUCCCGGCUUACCAACCCGAUGCAAACUGCGAAUACCGGAGAAUGUUAUCACGGGAGACACACGGCGGGUGCUAACGUCCGUCGUGAAGAGGGAAACAACCCAGACCGCCAGCUAAGGUCCCAAAGUCAUGGUUAAGUGGGAAACGAUGUGGGAAGGCCCAGACAGCCAGGAUGUUGGCUUAGAAGCAGCCAUCAUUUAAAGAAAGCGUAAUAGCUCACUGGUCGAGUCGGCCUGCGCGGAAGAUGUAACGGGGCUAAACCAUGCACCGAAGCUGCGGCAGCGACACUCAGGUGUUGUUGGGUAGGGGAGCGUUCUGUAAGCCUGCGAAGGUGGCCUGUGAGGGUUGCUGGAGGUAUCAGAAGUGCGAAUGCUGACAUAAGUAACGAUAAAGCGGGUGAAAAGCCCGCUCGCCGGAAGACCAAGGGUUCCUGUCCAACGUUAAUCGGGGCAGGGUGAGUCGACCCCUAAGGCGAGGCCGAAAGGCGUAGUCGAUGGGAAACGGGUUAAUAUUCCCGUACUUGGUGUUACUGCGAAGGGGGGACGGAGAAGGCUAUGUUGGCCGGGCGACGGUUGUCCCGGUUUAAGCGUGUAGGUGUGUGUUCCAGGUAAAUCCGGUUCACUUUAACACUGAGGCGUGAUGACGAGGCACUACGGUGCUGAAGCAACAAAUGCCCUGCUUCCAGGAAAAGCCUCUAAGCAUCAGGUAACAUCAAAUCGUACCCCAAACCGACACAGGUGGUCAGGUAGAGAAUACCAAGGCGCUUGAGAGAACUCGGGUGAAGGAACUAGGCAAAAUGGUGCCGUAACUUCGGGAGAAGGCACGCUGACACGUAGGUGAAGUGAUUUACUCAUGGAGCUGAAGUCAGUCGAAGAUACCAGCUGGCUGCAACUGUUUAUUAAAAACACAGCACUGUGCAAACACGAAAGUGGACGUAUACGGUGUGACGCCUGCCCGGUGCCGGAAGGUUAAUUGAUGGGGUCAGCGCAAGCGAAGCUCCUGAUCGAAGCCCCGGUAAACGGCGGCCGUAACUAUAACGGUCCUAAGGUAGCGAAAUUCCUUGUCGGGUAAGUUCCGACCUGCACGAAUGGCGUAAUGAUGGCCAGGCUGUCUCCACCCGAGACUCAGUGAAAUUGAACUCGCUGUGAAGAUGCAGUGUACCCGCGGCAAGACGGAAAGACCCCGUGAACCUUUACUAUAGCUUGACACUGAACAUUGAGCCUUGAUGUGUAGGAUAGGUGGGAGGCUUUGAAGUGUGG